rnacentral:rRNA from 1 species
GGGCACGACACCGGAGAGGGAGCCUGAGAAACGGCUACCACANCCAAGGAUGGCAGCAGGCGCGCAAAUUACCCAAUCCCGACACGGGGAGGUAGUGACAAUAAAUAACAAUACGGGGUUCUUUCGGAUCUCGUAAUUGGAAUGAGUACAAUUUAAAUCUCUUAACGAGGAACAAUAGGAGGGCAAGUCUGGUGCCAGCAGCCGCGGUAAUUCCAGCUCCAAUAGCGUAUAUUAAAGUUGUUGCAGUUAAAAAGCUCGUAGUUGAAUUUCGGGGUUAGUAGGUUGGUCAUGCCUCUGGUAUGUACUGGUCUCACUGAUGCCUCCUUCCUGAUGAACCGUAAUGCCAUUAAUUUGGUGUUGCGGGGAAUUUGGACUGUUACUUUGAAAAAAUUAGAGUGUUUAAAGCAAGCUAACGCUUGAAUACAUUAGCAUGGAAUAAUGAAAUAGGACGUUCGAUCCUAUUUUGUUGGUUUCUAGGAUUGACGUAAUGAUUAAUAGGGAUAGUUGGGGGCAUUAGUAUUCAAUUGUCAGAGGUGAAAUUCUUGGAUUUAUUGAAGACUAACUACUGCGAAAGCAUUUGCCAAGGAUGUUUUCAUUAAUCAAGAACGAAAGUUAGGGGAUCGAAGACGAUCAGAUACCGUCGUAGUCUUAACCAUAAACUAUGCCGACUAGGGAUCGGAUGAUGUUAAUUUUUUAAUGACUCAUUCGGCGCCUUACGGGAAACCAAAGU